ACUCGCUUGGUGGAACGGCAAACACGGCAGACUCAAAAUCUGUUUCUAAUGGAAUAUCGGUUCGAAUCCGAUAGCGAGUA
rnacentral:ncRNA from 14 species